rnacentral:rRNA from 1 species
AUACUGACGCUGAGGUGCAAAAGCGUGGGGAGCAAACAGGAUUAGAUACCCUGGUAGUCCACGCCGUAAACGAUGUCUACUAGCCGUUGGGGUCCUUGAGACUUUAGUGGCGCAACUAACGCACUAAGUACACCGCCUGGGGAGUACGGCCGCAAGGUUAAAACUCAAAUGAAUUGACGGGGGCCCGCACAAGCGGUGGAGCAUGUGGUUUAAUUCGACGCAACGCGAAGAACCUUACCAGGUCUUGACAUCCAGAGAACUUUCCAGAGAUGGAUUGGUGCCUUCGGGAGCUCUGAGACAGGUGCUGCAUGGCCGUCGUCAGCUCGGGUCGUGAGAUGUUGGGUUAAGUCCCGUAACGAGCGCAACCCUUGUCCUUAGUUGCCAGCGCGUAAUGGCGGGAACUCUAAGGAGACUGCCGGUGACAAACCGGAGGAAGGUGGGGAUGACGUCAGGUCAUCAUGGCCCUUACGACCUGGGCUACACACGUGCUACAAUGGGCGGUACAAAGGGUUGCCAAGCCGCGAGGUGGAGCCAAUCCCAUAAAACCGUUCGUAGUCCGGAUUGGAGUCUGCAACUCGACUCCAUGAAGUCGGAAUCGCUAGUAAUCGUAAAUCAGAAUGUUACGGUGAAUACGUUCCCGGGCCUUGUACACACCGCCCGUCACACCAUGGGAGUGGGUUGCACCAGAAGUAGCUAGUCUAACCCGAUCUUUUCGGAGCGAGGGGGGACGGUUACCACGGUGUGAUUCAUGACUGGGGUGAAGUCGUAACAAGGUAACCAAGCUCAGUAAAC